GGAGAAGUAAUUUUUUGUUUAGUAAUAUUUUUUGAAAAAUGUUUGUUAGUAAUAGUUUAUUAGUACUGUAAAGGAAUAUUUUAAAUAAAUUGAAAAAUUUUAUUUUUAAAAGUAUAUUUUGUUUAUAUUACCUUUUGUAUCAGGGUUGAUCUAAUUUUUAUAAUUUAUUUUUUCUUCUCGAUUUUAUAAGAGCUAAUAAUUUAUUUUAUUUUAUGUGUUAAAAUAAUUAAUAAUAUUUAUUAGAGGGGAAAUCUCAUUCGUUUAUAAGGGUAUCUAGUUUUUUAAGAAUUAAAUUUAAUUUAAUCCUGAAAUUUACUUUUUUCUUUUUGAUUUAUUUAUUUUUUAGGUUAUAAAUAGUGGGGGAUAAGCUCUACUUUUUUACUAUAAAAUUUUAUUUUGAUAAUUUUAGUAGGCCUAAAAUCAACCAUCUUUAAAUUACGUUAUAGUUUAUUUUAUUUUUAUUUGAUUUUCUUUUUUUUAGUUUUUUAUUAAAAUAAUUUAUAUAACUCUAUUAUAAUUGUAAUAAUGAUUAAAUUAGUAUAGAUUUUUGUUUGUUAUUUAUUUUUCUUUAAUUAUAAUUAAGGAACUCGGCAAAUCUAAUUUUCGCCUGUUUAUCAAAAACAUGUCCUCAUGUUUAUAUUUGAGGUUUGGCCUGCCCGGUGAUUUUAAUUUAACGGCCGCGGUAUAUUGACCGUGCAAAGGUAGCAUAAUCAUUAGUCUUUUAAUAGGAGGCUGGAAUGAAAGGUUUAACGAAAAAUUAGCUGUCUCAGUUAUAAAUUUGAAUUUAACUUUUAAGUUAAAAGGCUUAAAUUUUUUUGUAGGACGAGAAGACCCUAUAGAGCUUUACAUUUAAUGUUUUGUUAUAUUAAUUUAGAUUAAUACUUUUAAUUAACUUUAAAAAAUGUUUUGUUGGGGUGACAAGAAAUAUAUAUUUAACUUUUAUUAUUAUAUUUUCAUUAAUUUAUGUUUAUUGGAUCCAAAAUUUUUGAUCAUUAGAAUAAGUUACCUUAGGGAUAACAGCGUAAUCUUCCCUCAGAGUUCAAAUUUACGGGAAGGGUUGCGACCUCGAUGUUGGAUUAAGAUGACAAUUGGGUGCAGUAGCUCAAUUUGUAGGUCUGUUCGACCUUUAAAUUCUUACAUGAUCUGAGUUCAGACCGGUUUAAGCCAGGUCGGUUUCUAUCCUCAAUUUUAUUUUAGUUUUUAGUACGAAAGGACCAUUACUAUGAAAUAAUUUUUAUUAUUUGAUUUUCAUUAACUAUUUUGGCAGAAAAGUGCGAUGAAUUUAGAAUUCAUUAA
rnacentral:rRNA from 1 species